GACGAACGCUGGCGGCGUGCUUAACACAUGCAAGUCGAACGCUGAAGCUCAGCUUUUGUUGGGUGGAUGAGUGGCGAACGGGUGAGUAACACGUGAGUAACCUGCCUCCUUCUUUGGGAUAACGCCCGGAAACGGGUGCUAAUACUGGAUAUUCACUGGUCUUCGCAUGGGGGUUGGUGGAAAGGGUUUUUCUGGUGGGGGAUGGGCUCGCGGCCUAUCAGCUUGUUGGUGGGGUGAUGGCCUACCAAGGCUUUGACGGGUAGCCGGCCUGAGAGGGUGACCGGUCACAUUGGGACUGAGAUACGGCCCAGAUUCCUACGGGAGGCAGCAGUGGGGAAUAUUGCACAAUGGGCGCAAGCCUGAUGCAGCGACGCCGCGUGAGGGAUGGAGGCCUUCGGGUUGUGAACCUCUUUCGCUCAUGGUCAAGCCGCAACAAUGGUUGUGGUGAGGGUAGUGGGUAAAGAAGCGCCGGCUAACUACGUG
rnacentral:rRNA from 1 species